rnacentral:lncRNA from 1 species
GUCUCAAGAUUACAUAUAUACAUCUAAUCUAUAUUGUUAUAAAUAUACAUAAUUGUUUUUGCUAACAUUUUUUCUUUUCUGAAAACUCAUGUAGCAGCAGAAAUGCAAGUCUUUCAAAUGCUUUUGGGAAGACUGUGUAAAGAAAUGGCUGUCCCUUGUUCAAAGACAUCAAACAUUUCUAUGCAAGAUGUCUUAUUUCGCCAGUAGUAAUAUGCUCCCAUCAUAGGAAAAUUGGCUGUCUACAUUUAAAAGAAAAAUGAAGACAUCAUUAAAACUAUCAGGAAGUCUGGAAACAAUAUAGCAAUUUUUAACCUAAUGGUGCUAAGAGAGUGACAUGAAUGUUCUUGAUCAUCCAGUCUUUGAUGGUGGAUGCAGGUCUUUUUAGUCCAUUUUAAUGGUCAAGAUUGGUUAGCUUCAAAAGAAAAAGAUUUGAGAUUUGCAAAAAAAAAUUGUUCACCAAUGACAUGUUUUUGAGACCCCUUUUUAUUGUAACCUUGACUAUUAAGUUGCCUGUGGCUUCAUUUUUAUAGAAAAUGAGUUUCAGCAGGUGGAACUGAAAAUUACUGUUAGGAAAGAAUGAUUUCCAAUGAGCAGCAAAACAUUGAACCUUUGCCUUGUGGAUUCUCAUUUAUUAAGUCAAAGAGAAAAGGAGUAUAAGAUAUAAAGUUUCAUGUGCAGACCUUCCCUCCUUAUGAAUUCUGUGUUGAAAUGAAUAACUGUAAAACCCCAGGGAUUUGGCCAACCUCUUCUCCUGUCUCCUGCCAACUUUGACCUGGUUUUCUACAAGACUUAAGAGGUACAGAGACUGCACAGAAUCUCCCAGAAGACCUUAGUCAAUGCAGAAUUAAAUGGAAAAAUUCCACUUUUGUCAAAGGUGAAAAAUCUGGCUUUCCUUACAUGCAGAACCUCUAGAGACAUCAACAUGGUCUGUAUGAGCAACCUCAGCAAAA